rnacentral:rRNA from 1 species
GACGAACGCUGGCGGCGUGCCUAAUACAUGCAAGUUGAGCGCUGAAGGUUGGUACUUGUCCCAACUGGCUGAGCAGCGAACGAGUGAGUAACGCGUGGGGAAUCUGCCUUUGAGCGGGGGACAACAUUUGGAAACGAAUGCUAAUACCGCAUAAAAACUUUAAACACAAGUUUUAAGUUUGAAAGAUGCAAUUGCAUCACUCAAAGAUGAUCCCGCGUUGUAUUAGCUAGUUGGUGAGGUAAAGGCUCACCAAGGCGAUGAUACAUAGCCGACCUGAGAGGGUGAUAGGCCACAUUGGGACUGAGACACGGCCCAAACUCCUACGGGAGGCAGCAGUAGGGAAUCUUCGGCAAUGGACGAAAGUCUGACCGAGCAACGCCGCGUGAGUGAAGAAGGUUUUCGGAUCGUAAAACUCUGUUGGUAGAGAAGAACGUUGGUGAGAGUGGAAAGCUCAUCAAGUGACGGUAACUACCCAGAAAGGGACGGCUAACUACGUG